AUUGAACGCUGGCGGCAUGCCUUACACAUGCAGGUCGAACGGCAGCACGGGUGCUUGCACCUGGUGGCGAGUGGCGAACGGGUGAGUAAUACAUCGGAACAUGUCCUGUAGUGGGGGAUAGCCCGGCGAAAGCCGGAUUAAUACCGCAUACGAUCUACGGAUGAAAGGGGGGGACCUUCGGGCCUCGCGCUGUAGGGUUGGCCGAUGGCUGAUUAGCUAGUUGGUGGGGUAAAGGCCUACCAAGGCGACGAUCAGUAGCUGGUCUGAGAGGACGACCAGCCACACUGGGACUGAGACACGGCCCAGACUCCUACGGGAGGCAGCAGUGGGGAAUUUUGGACAAUGGGCGAAAGCCUGAUCCAGCAAUGCCGCGUGUGUGAAGAAGGCCUUCGGGUUGUAAAGCACUUUUGUCCGGAAAGAAAUCCUUGGCCCUAAUACGGUCGGGGGAUGACGGUACCGGAAGAAUAAGCACCGGCUAACUACGUG
rnacentral:rRNA from 1 species